rnacentral:rRNA from 1 species
GACGAACGCUGGCGGCGUGCUUAACACAUGCAAGUCGAACGGAAAGGCCAUGAUUUUGUGGGGUGCUCGUGUGGCGAACGGGGGAGUAACACGCGAGUAACCUGCACUUGACAUUGGGAUAACUUCAGGGAAAUGGGGCUAAUACCGGAUAUGAGAUCCUGAUGCAUGGGGGGGGUAGGAAAGAUUCGGCGGUUGGGGAUCGACUCGCGGCUUAACCGCUUGUUGGUGGGGUAGUGGCUUACCAAGGCUUUGACGGGUAGCCGGCCUGAGAGAGUGACCGGCGACCAUGGUACUGCGGGACGGCCCAGCCUGCUACGGUCGGCAGCAGGCGGGAAUAUUGCGCAAUGGGCCGAAGCCUGAUGCGACAGCGCCGCGUGCGUAAUGACGGCCUUCGGGUUGUAAACCGCUUUCUCCUGUGACGAAGCGUGAGUGACGGUAAUUGGUAAAGAAGCACCGGCUAACUACGUG